rnacentral:tRNA from 1 species
GGGAGUGCUUGGCGUCCUGGUGGCGUCCACGGACUUCAAAUCCGUUGGGACCGGCAGACACCGGUCCGGUGGGUUCGAUUCCCAUGCACUCCCG